ACGGAGGAUGCAAGCGUUAUCCGGAUUUAUUGGGUUUAAAGGGUGCGCAGGCGGAUUUGUAAGUCAGUGGUGAAAGCCUACAGCUCAACUGUAGAAUUGCCAUUGAUACUGCUAAUCUUGAGUAUAGUUGUGGUAGGCGGAAUGUAGCAUGUAGCGGUGAAAUGCUUAGAGAUGCUACAGAACUCCGAUUGCGAAGGCAGCUUACCAAGCUAUGACUGACGCUCAGGCACGAAAGCGUGGGUAGCAAACAG
rnacentral:rRNA from 1 species